rnacentral:rRNA from 1 species
UACGGAGGGAGCUAGCGUUGUUCGGAAUUACUGGGCGUAAAGCGCACGUAGGCGGCUAUUCAAGUCGGGGGUGAAAGCCCGGGGCUCAACCCCGGAACUGCCCUCGAAACUAGAUAGCUAGAAUCUUGGAGAGGCGAGUGGAAUUCCGAGUGUAGGGGUGAAAUUCGUAGAUAUUAGGAGGAACACCGGUGGCGAAGGCGGCGGUCUGGCCCAACACUGACACUCAGACCCGAAAGCGUGGGGAUCAAACAGG